UCCCCUCAAAAAAAAUCAACAUCCCCUCAAAAAAAAUAAAAAAUCAGCAGCCGCGGCGGCACGGCGAACCGUGGCCCUGCUACCCAGAGCAGUAGCGGAGGCGGCGAACUUCUCCACCACUCGCGCGACCCGGAGCACGACUCCGACUCCGGCUCGCUCUCCCUCGACGGAGAACUUCUCUCUCACAGUGGAAAGGAGGCUCCGUGAAGUGUCAGAUUGUGUUUAUAUCUUUUGUUGCAAGCCUUAAUUUUGUUGAAUGAGCUGUACGGACACAUGCAAUUGGUGCAAUAUUGAAAGAAGGCUGUCAUUUAAAUCGUAGUUUGUCGAGUUUGACUACUGCCAUCCGAGAGCUGAGACAUCGACGAAGGAGAAUGCUAUCAAAGAAAGUAAAAGUCUUUUGAAGCAGAUUGAAGAUCUUAAAUCAAGUAAUUUGACACUCUUUCUCAUGCAUGUGUACAUACGAUUUCUGCAGUUCUAAGCUGUAACUCCCUCCAUUUCACAAAGAAUGGCACGCACGCAUUUCAAGAUUUUACUUUGACCAACAAUUCGACUAAUGAUUUGAGGUUUAUGUGUUACAAAAAUUAUAUCAUUGGAUUCGUAUUUCAAAAACCUUUCCAACGAUAUAAAUUUCUAACAUAUAAUCUACAUACAAUUGGUCUAAUCGUUGGUCAAAGUUCGACCUCGAAAAGGAGUGAGUAUACUUUAGCAGGUCAGAAGACUACAUCGGAAACUGCUAAUGAUCAGGCUUUAAAGGAAAAGGACUCAUACACGUUAGCACGUUAUGCUUAAAUGGCAUAAACAUUUCUUCAUGCUAUUUACACAAAUGUACAUUACUACGGAAAGGGAUAUCACUUACGGGCGCAAAAGGCCAUCAGUAGCGGGAGCCUCGCCCGCCGCAGCCUGAUUGCCACUGAUGUAGGUUACAUCAGUGGCAAGCGUCUCACCUGACACUGAUGUAAGAUACCAUACGGUCUUCGUCGGCUGACCCUUCUUCACUUCAUCCCCAUCGUCUUCGCCAGCUCUGGCAUCUUUCCUCUUGUAUAUCGAUGCGCCGCAUAUGGGACAUUUGUGAUGGUUUUCGUACCUUCUAAUGUAUACGAUGCAGUCGUUUGGACAUGAAUGAUCUUUCAUGCAAUCUAAUCCAAACAGGCAUGUGAUCUUC